AUUGAACGCUGGCGGCAUGCUUUACACAUGCAAGUCGAACGGCAGCGCGGGCUUCGGCCUGGCGGCGAGUGGCGAACGGGUGAGUAAUGCAUCGGAACGUGCCCAGUAGUGGGGGAUAGCCCGGCGAAAGCCGGAUUAAUACCGCAUACGACCUGAGGGUGAAAGCGGGGGACCGAAAGGCCUCGCGCUAUUGGAGCUGCCGAUGUCGGAUUAGCUAGUUGGUGGGGUAAAGGCUUACCAAGGCGACGAUCCGUAGCUGGUCUGAGAGGACGACCUGCCACACUGGGACUGAGACACGGCCCAGACUCCUACGGGAGGCAGCAGUGGGGAAUUUUGGACAAAGGGGGCAACCCUGAUCCAGCCAUGCCGCGUGCGGGAAGAAGGCCUUCGGGUUGUAAACCGCUUUUGUUCGGGAAGAAAUCCUCUGGGCUAAUACCCCGGGGGGAUGACGGUACCGGAAGAAUAAGCACCGGCUAACUACGUG
rnacentral:rRNA from 1 species